rnacentral:rRNA from 1 species
UACGAAGGGGGCUAGCGUUGCUCGGAAUCACUGGGCGUAAAGGGCGCGUAGGCGGCGUUUUAAGUCGGGGGUGAAAGCCUGUGGCUCAACCACAGAAUGGCCUUCGAUACUGGGACGCUUGAGUAUGGUAGAGGUUGGUGGAACUGCGAGUGUAGAGGUGAAAUUCGUAGAUAUUCGCAAGAACACCGGUGGCGAAGGCGGCCAACUGGACCAUACUGACGCUGAGGCGCGACAGCGUGGGGAGCAAACAGGAUUGAGA